UAACACCUGGAAACAGAUGCUAAUACCGGAUAACAACAGAUGAUGCCUAUCAACUGUUUAAAAGAUGGUUCUGCUAUCACUCUUGGGAUGGACCUGCGGUGCAUUAGCUAGUUGGUAGGGUAACGGCCUACCAAGGCGAUGAUACAUAGCCGAGUUGAGAGACUGAUCGGCCACAUUGGGGACUGAGACACGGCCCAAAAACUCCUACGGGAGGCAGCAGUAGGGAAUCUUCCACAAUGGACGCAAGUCUGAUGGAGCAACGCCGCGUGAGUGAAGAAGGGUUUCGGCUCGUAAAGCUCUGUUGUUGGUGAAGAAGGACAGGGGUAGUAACUGACCUUUGUUUGACGGUAAUCAAUUAGAAAGUCACGGCUAACUACGUGCCAGCAGCCGCGGUAAU
rnacentral:rRNA from 1 species